UUCUGACUGACUCAUGAUGAAAA
rnacentral:piRNA from 1 species